rnacentral:lncRNA from 7 species
GGCACUAAGUCUGCUGCAAGCCAGCCAGCCCCUGAGCUGGUGAACUGGAACCAGCCUGGGAGAAAGGACAUGACCGUGGAGACAGGAAGAGGUUUGCCCUCCAGAGAAGUAAAUUGACUCAAAACAGAUCAACUGAAAACAGAUGCAUUGAAAUGUUGCUGCUGCUUGCCUCGCUGAAGGAAGUCUCUCAGAGGAAAGGCGUGGGUUGUAUCAACUGGAAGGAGAAUAUCAAACUCCAUCUGCCCCAGCUGUGAUAACCGUCUUGCAGCCAAUUGUGGCACAGAACAAGAGUUAGGGACUGAAACCCUAAGGAACAUAUUUGAAAUGCUGCCAAUUUAUCCAGUUUCCUCCUACUCCUGAAUUAAGCUGCAAACUUGUCAAUGAAAAAGCUGGAUAGUAUGGAAGCCCAGUAAAAUGUGAGCUGGAAAAGUAGUGUUACCAUGGCUUAUCAGAAAUCGAAGAGUACGUCCCAUUGAUCUAUCAUAAAGGUCAUUUAAGAGUACUUCCUUUCUUUCAGAUGGGAAAAGGAGGCUUAAAAAAAGUCAAACUCAGGCACCCAAGGCCUAUUGCAGCCACGUUGCCCUUGCCUCAGGGAUGAGCUGUCUGUGGACAGCUGGCCCCUAGCUUUACAUCUUAAAAACAGUGGAAACUACGCUUACAAUUUUACUUUACUUUAGUCCUGCAGCUUCAUUUAAAUGUAUAUGAGAUCUAAAUACAAUCUUCCACUGUGAGCUUUGUAGCAUGGAUGCUCUGUAUGGCUUCUUUAUGUCAUGUUAGUACAAAGUGACAGUAAUCCAUGACUGAAUACUCUUGAUGUAAUUCUGGAGGUUUGGAGCCAAGUGCAGCAAAUGAUUAUCUGUGGCUGUUCCUUCUACUGGUGCCUGUGGACUUCAAAGAAAAAAAAAAUCAAGGCCUGGAUUCCUGAAGAAGUGCUGAGAGGGAGCCUUUCAGAUGGACAUGGAACAAAGUGGAUAUGACACGGCCUGGGAAGAGCAAGACAGAGCUUAUGUUGAUCAAGAAGAGAAGACACUUUGCCUAUUGGUAUCUUCUGUAAGUCUCUUGCACCACCAAAUUUUGAGGGAGCUGGAGCAAGAAAAGCAACAGAAAAUGUAAUUCUGCAGCAUUGCUGUAAAGAAUAAGUUGACACUUCGCUGAACAUGAGACAGCAGUGUGCUCAGGUGGCCAAGAAGGCCACUGGCACCCUGGCUUCUAUCAGAAAUACUGUUGCCAGCAGGAGCAGGGAGGUGAUCAUCCCUUUAUACUCAGCACUGGUGAGGCUGCACCUCAAGUACUGUGUACAGUUUUGGGCCCUUCACUACAAGAAAGAUAUCAAGGCCCUGAAGUGUGUUCAGAGAAGGGCAACAAAACUGUGAGGGGUCUGGAGCACAAAUCUUAUGAGGAUUUGGUGGGGGAAUUGAGAUUGUUCAGUCUAGAGAAGAGGAGGCUCAGGGGAGACCUCAUUGCUCUCUACAACAAAAAGGAGAUUAUGGUGAGGAUCAACCUCUUCUCCCAUGAAACUAGUGAUAGGACUAGAGGGAAUGGCCUCAAGCUGCUCCAGGGAAGGUUCAGGUUGGAAGUUAGGAAAAAUUUCUUCAACGAAAAGUGUGGUCAGACACUGGAAUGGGCUGCGCAGGGAGGUGAUUAAGUCACCAUCUUUGCAGGUGAUCAGAGACAUUUAGGUGUUGUGCUAAGGCACAUGAUUUAGUGGGGGAGUAUUGGCGAUAGGUUGAUGGUUGGACUGGAUGAUCUUGGAGGUUUUUUCCUACCUUGAUGAUUCUGUGAUUCUAAGAACAAUCAUUGCUAAAACUGGUAGAUCUUUUACCGAGUAACUUCAGAAGCUUGAGUUACAAUUUCAGUUAGUUUAUUUUGGCUAUCAUUUAGCUAAUUAAGGAAUCCAAACAAUGUCAAGUGCUGAUCAAUCACGGAGCUAAACACAAUUCCUGUCCUUCAGAACUUGCUGCUUAACAAACAUACAUAUUCAACAGGUGAGCCAAAAUAAGGUGCAUCUGGAUCCAAAUCAUACCUGGUGUUAUUUAGUUAGUUGUAAUAAAGCCUGUUAUUACUGAGAACAGAGAUGUUGUUUUUGCUGCACAAAGGUUGUUGUUGAAAGUCAUUCUGUUUUUGCUCAGGCAUUGCAGCUCAUCUGGAAUUUUGAUUGCUGGAUCUCUGGCUAGUAGAGUAAUGUAUAUAAAAUGCAGUGCUGCAGUGUCAAAUGUUGUGAGGCACAUUAAAGAAUCCAGAAAAC